CACGUAGGGACCAAGCGUUGUCCGGAUUCAUUGGGCGUAAAGAGCUCGUAGGCGGUUCAGUAAGUCGGGUGUGAAACCUCCAGGCUCAACCUGGAGACGCCACCCGAUACUGCUGUGACUAGAGUCCAGUAGGGGAGCGUGGAAUUCCUGGUGUAGCGGUGAAAUGCGCAGAUAUCAGGAAGAACACCCGUGGCGAAAGCGGCUCUCUGGAACGGUACUGACGCUGAGACGCGAAAGCGUGGGGAGCGAACAGG
rnacentral:rRNA from 1 species